GGGGGUAUAGCUCAGUUGGUAGAGCGCUUGAAUGGCAUUCAAGAGGUCAGGAGUUCGAGCCUCCUUAUCUCCACCA
rnacentral:tRNA from 1 species